CCUACGGGGUGCUGCAGUGGGGAAUAUUGGACAAUGGGCGAAAGCCUGAUCCAGCCAUGCCGCGUGUGUGAAGAAGGCCUUCGGGUUGUAAAGCACUUUCAGUGGGGAAGAAAGCCUUGGGGCUAAUACCCUCGAGGAAGGACAUCACCCACAGAAGAAGCACCGGCUAACUCCGUGCCAGCAGCCGCGGUAAUACGGAGGGUGCGAGCGUUAAUCGGAAUUACUGGGCGUAAAGCGCGCGUAGGCGGUCUGAUAAGCCGGUUGUGAAAGCCCCGGGCUCAACCUGGGAACGGCAUCCGGAACUGUCAGGCUAGAGUGCAGGAGAGGAAGGUAGAAUUCCCGGUGUAGCGGUGAAAUGCGUAGAGAUCGGGAGGAGUACCAGUGGCGAAGGCGGCCUUCUGGACUGACACUGACGCUGAGGUGCGAAAGCGUGGGUAGCAACCAGGAUUAGAUACCCCAGUAGUC
rnacentral:rRNA from 1 species